CGAGCCCUAUAGGUUUGUUUUCAUUUAAAACCCGUUCCCCAUUCAUUCUUUUUGUUACUUAUUUGAAGAGGCAUUUGUUGACUAUUAAAGAUGCAUUAUUUCCAUUAAAAUCAGGAAGGAGGCAAUACUCUUUCACAGCACUGCGUUACAAUAUUGCCACCGAGACGAAAGUCUCUUCCUGUUAAAGAACCACCUGCUGUCUGUGACUGGAAAGGUUUAAUGAUUGACAGUGAAAACACAGCUCAACAAGUGGAACCUACUUUUAAAAAUUAUUAACCCUUUUAGAAACUGACUGAAUAUAAUAACUUGUUCCGAAGUUUGCAGGUCCUGACCAAAAAGGCUGAACCUUCACGUUCCCUGAGUAACGCCAUAAUCUCCAUUUGGCUGAAGGCCCAGCUAAUAACAAAUAACCUAAAUAACAGGAAGAGUGGUGCAGGUCUGCAGCCUCCAAAGGACUUUAAAACGGCUGAUAAUUGAAUGGAGUUCGGCGUGAGAGCCGAACGAGCCUGACUACAGAGCCUUUGAGACAAGCUAAUCCCGCGACAGCUUUUAAAGCGGCAGCCAAACCCGAUGCGAACCGAACCACACCGGACCGGACCGGACCGGACCGGGUUCGGGGAGCUCCCAGGCCCGAUGAAGGUGAGGAAGAAGAGGUCAGCACUCACGUUCUCGCAGUCGGUUCUUGAAGUUGGGGUCACUCCGUCUUUUCCUGUCGAAAUAGAUGCAGUAACCGACGAGCAGAGCCCCGCACACCCCGGCGGCCAGCGCGCUGGUCUUACCGCCCAUCAUGGCUCCCGGGACCCGGUCGGUUUGAGGCGGAUUAACGGGUAAAUGAACGGGUUCCUUCUCCGGUGGUCGGUGUUUGUGAGGGAGCUGGCGGAGCGGCUCGGGGCAGGAAGGACCCGGAAGGACCCCGGCGGUUGACAGCUUGUAGCCGUCUGUAGGAUGCCUGACUGGAAAUGUGAAGAAAAUAAAUAUAAAGAAGCUGGAAAGCGUUUGAAGAAAUUAAAUAACACCGCUUAAUUUAUUAAAAACAACAAUAAUAAGUAGUAGAAAUAUAUGACCCUGAAUAACACAUUUUCCUUUAUUUCCUAAAAUAGAGACUGCUGUGUUCCUGCUGCCUGGAGUUAUUUUCAUUCAAGUGUUCUGCAUGUUGUUAAUGUGUAUUAAAACUAUUUAUAUUAGGUGUCCAUCCAUUCAAGAAAAGGUAUUCUGUAUGGCAAAACCUUUGGUGAUUAAUGGUUAAAUAAUUAUUAAAAACAGGCUUUUUUCUCACCUUUACUCAAAACACAAUGAAACUUCAGGAGCUGAAAGUAAACAUUAAUGGAAGCUUUAAAA